AUUGGAACUGAGACACGGUCCAAACUCNUACGGGAGGCAGCAGUGAGGAAUAUUGGUCAAUGGACGAGAGUCUGAACCAGCCAAGUAGCGUGCAGGAUGACGGCCCUAUGGGUUGUAAACUGCUUUUAUACGGGAAUAAAGUCAAUCACGUGUGGUUGUUUGUAUGUACCGUAUGAAUAAGGACCGGCUAAUUCCGUGCCAGCAGCCGUGGUAAUACGGAAGGUCCGGGCGUUAUCCGGAUUUAUUGGGUUUAAAGGGAGCGUAGGCCGCCGAUUAAGCGUGUUGUGAAAUGCCGCAGCUCAACUGUGGCACUGCAGCGCGAACUGGUUGGCUUGAGUGCGCGGAAGGCAGGCGGAAUUUGUGGUGUAGCGGUGAAAUGCUUAGAUAUCACGAAGAACCCCGAUUGCGAAGGCAGCUUGCCGCAGCGUAACUGACGCUGAAGCUCGAAAGCGCGGGUAUCGAACAGGAUUAGAUACCCUGGUAGUCCGCACGGUAAACGAUGGAUGCCCGCUGUUCCGGCUAUAUGUUGGAGUGGCCAAGCGAAAGCGUUAAGCAUCCCACCUGGGGAGUACGCCGGCAACGGUGCAACUCAAAUGAAUUGACGGA
rnacentral:rRNA from 1 species